GUUCAGAUAGAUCAGCAGGUAAGACUCGACAACGUUGGUAGAAGGGCUUUUCCACAUGAGUAUAAAACAGGCAGAAAACACAAGAUGGCGCUGCUUCCCAAAAAAUAAAAAGGUAAAACCCAAGCUGUCACCUCCUGAGGCUGCUGUGAAGGGGAGCAUGUAAUGACGAGCUGACUGUAAUCAUAUGGGCUCCUACAUAAUGAGCAGCUGUAACUGGAACUCGAGGAAUAGGUAUGAUUUUCAAUUUCCUACAGACUAAAGAUAGACGUGGGCUAAAUUACACCAAAAAACACACAAGGUUACCAUUAAACUCCACUGCACAGCAGAGCAGACCCCCUGAAAGACUUUCACCCAAACUGAGCAGAUCCACACAUUUAGACAUCAAACUUUGAAUUCAAAGUGUUCAUGGCAAACCAUAAAUGUAUCUUUUCAGAGUCUGAGAUGAGAUGUCUUUGAUGUUUUUUUCAGGAUAAAUCAGGGUUGAAGUAAAAUCAGACAAACGUGUGCAUGUUUCAUUUGAGCCCCACAGCACUUUUCACAAGUUUAAUUGAAGUUGGUGCCAAACAGACGUCAGAAUGUGUUCUCUCUUUUCUGAUAUUGAUUCUUGUUGAUGUUUGUGGUUGCUGGGUGAUCAUCUAACAUAGGACACAUCUCAGUCUCACUGUCUACCAACAGUGAAGUGCAGAUUAUUAAUUAGAAAGCACUUUGACUCGAGUACAGCUGAAAGGCUGUUGAUUAUUUGACGACAUCGGCAGGAGUACAUUUUUAACUUUUUUAACUACACAAAGCUGUGGAUUAUUUUCCAGUUAAGAUUUAACAUUCCAACGUGAUCAUUACAGUUUUAAUAUGUUGCAUUAUGUCAACCCAAUCACAUAAAAAACGGUUAUAAGUCGCUAUUCCUUGACUUGCUCUAACAUGUAUGUUACACACAUCAUCACACCUGUAUAAAGUAAAGACUUUGAAGAAGACCCGGUCAAUCCUGGCAGAUCACAGUCCUCCUUUGUCCGAGGAGUUUAAGUUGCUUCUGUCCGGCCGCAGAUUCAGCGUGACAGCAUGUAGGACACAGAGACAAAGGUCUUCAUUUGUCCCUGCUGCCAUCGCCUUUUUGAAACGACUAAUGGUGUUGCUUUUUCACCUGUUUCUAUCUAUUGCAUUUAUUGUCCAUUGGAACUUAACUUCUUAGUGUCCUUCUUAUGUUGUAUUGGCUGUAUGUAUGUUUUUACUGCUGACUGCAAAACAAAUGUCCCUCUCACAGGGAUGACGAAGACAACGUUGAACCUUGAACCUUCAUCAUAAUACCUAAAACAUAGAGUCUUGUGCAGGAAGAUUGUCUUGAAUGAUCUUGGCCAUAUUUUUCAAAAAAGAGCCACUAAGAAGGCAAAGGCCAUCCUGGGAGACCCUCAGCACCCUCCGCAUGCAGAGUUUAGACUCUUGCCAACAGGGAGGAGGUUCACUUAUAUCAGGAGGGACAAAUCAAACUGAUAUCUGAGGACAUUUCAGCAUUUAUCAGCAGUUGGGAUUUAAUAUAAGCUGUAUGCAUUGUUGUCUUUGUGUCUCUUAUCUCCCUCACGUCCAUCAUGAUGAUAUCAAUGGGAGUUAUGUUUUAUAUGUAUGUAUUUCAGUUUUUCUGCUGUUUUUCUGACGUGUAUUGCCCGUAUGAACCUCUGUUGCAAACUAAAUUGCCCCUCGGGGACAAUAAAGAUUUUCCAAUCCAAAA